UGAGGACAAAAGAGGGAAAGACAAUUUCUUAAAGGGCUAAGACAAAUAGAAUGGGGAGAGAUGACCUUUUCCACUAAAAAAAAACCCAAUAGCCAAGAAGCCAACAAUUGGCCCAAACGUUGCAAGGCCCAAAGCUAGGCACCAAUACUACAUGAGGUAUCACCGUCGCAAAAAUAAGUAGCAAAGAGGAGACUAAAUAUCGCUGGAACCUUUAAAAAAAAUGGUAGGGGAACAACAUCACCACCAAACGAGGAGGAAGCUUUAUCGGGGAAGUCAAGAACUAAGAAUGGGAUGUAACAUGAGUAGAAUUUGAGGGGUAACCAGUUGAAAGGAGGAAAGAUACAGAGUUGAAGACUGGAUCUUUGCUUAGGCACCAUGAAGAGAGUUGCCACAAGGAAAACAAGG